rnacentral:rRNA from 1 species
CUACGAGACGCUCCAGUGGGGAAUAUUGCACAAUGGGCGCAAGCCUGAUGCAGCCAUGCCGCGUGUAUGAAGAAGGCCUUCGGGUUGUAAAGUACUUUCAGCGGGGAGGAAGGGAGUAAAGUUAAUACCUUUGCUCAUUGACGUUACCCGCAGAAGAAGCACCGGCUAACUCCGUGCCAGCAGCCGCGGUAAUACGGAGGGUGCAAGCGUUAAUCGGAAUUACUGGGCGUAAAGCGCACGCAGGCGGUUUGUUAAGUCAGAUGUGAAAUCCCCGGGCUCAACCUGGGAACUGCAUCUGAUACUGGCAAGCUUGAGUCUCGUGGAGGGGGGUAGAAUUCCAGGUGUAGCGGUGAAAUGCGUAGAGAUCUGGAGGAAUACCGGUGGCGAAGGCGGCCCCCUGGACGAAGACUGACGCUCAGGUGCGAAAGCGUGGGGAGCAAACAGGAUUAGAUACCCCCGUAGUC